rnacentral:rRNA from 1 species
UCCGUAGGCGGUGUGGCAAGUCGGAAGUGAAAUCUCUGGGCUUAACUCAGAGGCUGCUUCCGAAACUGCCGUGCUAGAGUGCGAGAGAGGCAAGUGGAAUUGCGGGUGUAGCGGUGAAAUGCGUAGAUAUCCGCAGGAACAUCCGAGGCGAAAGCGGCUUGCUGGAUCGCAACUGACGCUGAGGGACGAAAGCUAGGGGAGCAAACAGGAUUAGAUACCCUGGUAGUCCUAGCCCUAAACCAUCAGGACUUGGGGUUUGCCCUGUACGGGGCAAGUCCCGUAGCUAACGCGUUAAGUCCUGCGCCUGGGGAGUACAGUCGCAAGGCUGAA